CCUUAUUUGUGUUCCCUGGGUGUGCAUGUGGCAGCAUGGACCAACAUCUAAAUAGAUGUGAAAGAAGAAUAGGGUCCUUUGAAGACUACUUGAUUUCUCCUAUGGCCUUUCCUGACCUGCCCAGUUCACUGUGGCUUAGCUGUCCCCUAACUCUGGUAACUCUGGUACCAUUCUCCUUCUGAACCACACCUCGUGACAGCAUUGAUCUACACACUACUGCUCUCAGGUACCCCGGGGAAAAGGAUGGAAAAGUGCCACUCUAUGGUGGGCUAUAUGGAUGUAAUAAGAGAAAAGAAAAGCAAAUAAAUAAAUAAAUAAAAUAAAAAUAAGAGAAAAGGCACACCAUCCAGUCAUGGUUUACUCAUCUUGAUGUGAUAGCCAUUAGGAGCAAACUCAAAUCUUAAUGGAUGUCAUUUCCAGUAGCCCCCUGGACUGAACAGCAAGUCACCAUCAUUUUCAAAGU